rnacentral:rRNA from 1 species
UAAGACAGAGGGGGCAAGCGUUGCUCGGAAUCACUGGGCGUAAAGGGCGCGUAGGCGGGAUGGCAAGUCAGUCGUGAAAUCUCUCGGCUCAACCGAGAAACGUCGGCUGAUACUGCCGUUCUUGAGGGAUGCAGAGGAGACUGGAAUUCCCGGUGUAGCGGUGAAAUGUGUAGAGAUCGGGAGGAACACCGGUGGCGAAGGCGGGUCUCUGGGCAUUUCCUGACGCUGAGGCGCGAAAGCGUGGGGAGCAAACGGGAUUAGAUACCCCGGUAGUCCUAGCCGUAAACGAUGGACACUAGGUGUUGGUGGUAUCAACCCCGCCAGUGCCGAAGCUAACGCAUUAAGUGUCCCGCCUGGGGAGUACGGCCGCAAGGCUA